rnacentral:rRNA from 1 species
AGGCAGCAGUGGGGAAUAUUGCACAAUGGGCGCACCCNUUNAUGCAGCGACGCCGCGUGAGGGAUGACGGCCUUCGGGUUGUAAACCUCUUUCAGUAGGGACGAAGCGCAAGUGACGGUACCUAUAGAAGAAGGACCGGCCAACUACGUGCCAGCAGCCGCGGUAAUACGUAGGGUCCGAGCGUUGUCCGGAAUUACUGGGCGUAAAGAGCUCGUAGGUGGUUUGUCGCGUUGUUCGUGAAAACUCACAGCUUAACUGUGGGCGUGCGGGCGAUACGGGCAGACUGGAGUACUGCAGGGGAGACUGGAAUUCCUGGUGUAGCGGUGGAAUGCGCAGAUAUCAGGAGGAACACCGGUGGCGAAGGCGGGUCUCUGGGCAGUAACUGACGCUGAGGAGCGAAAGCGUGGGGAGCGAACAGGAUUAGAUACCCUGGUAGUCCACGCCGUAAACGGUGGGUACUAGGUGUGGGUUUCCUUCCUUGGGAUCCGUGCCGUAGCUAACGCAUUAAGUACCCCGCCUGGGGAGUACGGCCGCAAGGCUAAAACUCAAAGGAAUUGACGG